AUUUAUAUAAUAUAUUUAGUAUAUUUGACUUCCAAUCAAAAAGUUUAGAAAAUUUUAAUAUAAAUA
rnacentral:tRNA from 1 species